rnacentral:sRNA from 1 species
UUGAGAGCUCUAGAGACUGAUGCCCUCUGUGCGCAGAACGGGCUCUGCUGAGGCGGCCUAGGUGCAAGCUAACCCCACCCUGCUCCCUGUGAAUGUGCCUCAAAUCUAACCUGGAGGGGGCUCCAGUUCAGGCUCUAAAGUCCAUUCCUUGGCUUCC